rnacentral:rRNA from 1 species
GUGGCGAACGGGUGAGUAAUGCAUCGGAACGUGCCCAAUAGUGGGGGAUAACACAUCGAAAGAUGUGCUAAUACCGCAUACGACCUACGGGUGAAAGCGGGGGACCGAAAGGCCUCGCGCUAUUGGAGCGGCCGAUGGCUGAUUAGCUAGUUGGUGGGGUAAAAGCCUACCAAGGCUACGAUCAGUAGCUGGUCUGAGAGGACGACCAGCCACACUGGGACUGAGAUACGGCCCAGACUCC